rnacentral:rRNA from 1 species
GAUCAAAUCAAGCGCGAAAAGGGCGUUUGGUGGAUGCCUUGGCAGCAAGAGGCGAUGAAGGACGUGAUACCCUGCGUUAAGCCAUGGGGAGCCGGGAAUGGGCUUUGAUCCAUGGAUGUCCGAAUGGGGGAACCCACCUGACGUUUUAUUGUUGUUGCUUCGCAACGAGACGCUCCGCGCCGACCCUUGGUCGGAGGCGGCUGCGCCGCGCGGCGCGGGAUCAACAGUAGGGCGAGACAGGUACUUUAACCCUGAAUACAUAGGGGUUUUAGAGCGAACCCGGGGAACUGAAACAUCUAAGUACCCGGAGGAAAGGAAAUCAACAGAGACUCCGUUAGUAGUGGCGAGCGAACGCGGACCAGCCGAGCCUGGAAGAGUGACCGGAACCGUCUGGAAAGGCGGGCCAUAGCGGGUGACAGCCCCGUACGGGAAGCUCCACGGGACAUAUCAAGUAGGGCGGGACACGUGUAAUCCUGUCUGAAGAUCGGGGGACCACCCCCGAAGGCUAAGUACUCCUUGCUGACCGAUAGCGAACCAGUACCGUGAGGGAAAGGUGAAAAGCACCCCGACGAGGGGAGUGAAACAGUACCUGAAACCGGACGCCUACAAGCAGUCGGAGGGGCCUCGAGCCCUGACGGCGUACCUUUUGUAUAAUGGGUCAACGACUUGGUCUAACGAGCGAGCUUAAGCCGAUAGGUGUAGGCGCAGCGAAAGCGAGUCUUAAAAGGGCGCAUGAGUUCGUUGGAUCAGACCCGAAACCAGAUGAUCUAGCCAUGAGCAGGAUGAAGGUUGGGUAACACCAACUGGAGGUCCGAACCAACACCCGUUGAAAAGGGUCUGGAUGACUUGUGGCUAGGGGUGAAAGGCCAAUCAAAUCUGGAGAUAGCUGGUUCUCCGCGAAAGCUAUUUAGGUAGCGCCUCGGACGAAUACCUCGGGGGGUAGAGCACUGCAUGGGUGAUGGGGUCCCACAGACUUACUGAGCCUAAGCAAACUCCGAAUACCCGAGAGUACUAUCCGGGAGACACACGGCGGGUGCUAACGUCCGUCGUGAAGAGGGAAACAACCCUGACCUGCAGCUAAGGCCCCUAAUUCGUGGCUAAGUGGGAAAGCAUGUGGGACGGCCAAAACAACCAGGAGGUUGGCUUAGAAGCAGCCAUCCUUUAAAGAUAGCGUAACAGCUCACUGGUCUAGACAAGCUGUCCUGCGGCGAAGAUGUAACGGGGCUCAAGCCACGAGCCGAAGCUCAGGAUGCACAGCGAUGUGCGUGGUAGCGGAGCGUUCUGUGAUAUAGCUCAUUGCCUCUUCUCUGCCCUUCGGGGUGGAUCGGAGGCAGGGAGCUUUCUGUGAAGCCGGGCCGUGAGGCAUCCGGUGGAGAGAUCAGAAGCGAGAAUGUUGACAUGAGUAGCGACAAAGAGGGUGAGAGACCCUCUCGCCGAAAGUCCAAGGGUUCCUGCUUAAAGCUAAUCUGAGCAGGGUAAGCCGGCCCCUAAGGCGAGGCCGAAAGGCGUAGUCGAUGGGAACCAGGUUAAUAUUCCUGGGCCAGGAGGAUGUGACGGAUCUCGGGUGUAGUUCAGGCUUAUCGGAUUGUCUGGGCUGCUGAGAGGUUCCUGGAAAUAGCCCUCCAUCAGACCGUACCCUAAACCGACACAGGUGGACUGGUAGAGUAUACCAAGGCGCUUGAGAGAACCACGUUAAAGGAACUCGGCAAAAUGCCUCCGUAAGUUCGCGAGAAGGAGGCCCCGUCUGUAGGCAACUAUGGGCGGGGGGCACAAACUAGGGGGUGGCGACUGUUUACUUAAAACACAGGGCUCUGCGAAGCCGUAAGGCGACGUAUAGGGUCUGACGCCUGCCCGGUGCUGGAAGGUUAAAAGGAGGGGUGCAAGCUCCGAAUUGAAGCCCCAGUAAACGGCGGCCGUAACUAUAACGGUCCUAAGGUAGCGAAAUUCCUUGUCGGGUAAGUUCCGACCUGCACGAAUGGCGUAACGAUCUCCCCGCUGUCUCUAACGUGGACUCAGCGAAAUUGAACUGUGUGUCAAGAUGCACACUACCCGCGGUUAGACGGAAAGACCCCAUGAACCUUUACUCCAGCUUUGCACUGGCAUCAGGAUUGUGAUGUGCAGGAUAGGUGGUAGGCUUCGAAGCAGGGACGCCAGUCUCUGUGGAGCCUCCCUUGAGAUACCACCCUUCGCACUCUUGAUGUCUAACCGCGGCCCGUCAUCCGGGUCCGGGACCAUGCAUGGUGGGGAGUUUGACUGGGGCGGUCGCCUCCCAAACAGUAACGGAGGCGCGCGAAGGUUGGCUCAGAGCGGUCGGAAAUCGCUCGUUGAGUGCAAUGGCAGAAGCCAGCCUGACUGCAAGACUGACAAGUCGAGCAGAGACGAAAGUCGGCCAUAGUGAUCCGGUGGUCCCAAGUGGGAGGGCCAUCGCUCAACGGAUAAAAGGUACUCUGGGGAUAACAGGCUGAUGAUGCCCAAGAGUCCAUAUCGACGGCAUCGUUUGGCACCUCGAUGUCGGCUCAUCUCAUCCUGGGGCUGGAGCAGGUCCCAAGGGUAUGGCUGUUCGCCAUUUAAAGAGGUACGUGAGCUGGGUUUAGAACGUCGUGAGACAGUUCGGUCCCUAUCUGCCGUGGGUGUAGGAGACUUGAGAAGAGUUGCCCCUAGUACGAGAGGACCGGGGUGAACGUUCCACUGGUGGACCAGUUGUCGUGCCAACGGCAGUGCUGGGUAGCUAUGAACGGACAGGAUAACCGCUGAAGGCAUCUAAGCGGGAAGCCCCCUUCAAAACAAGGUCUCCCUUGAGGGCCGUGGAAGACCACCACGUCGAUAGGCCGGAGGUGUAAGUGCAGCAAUGCAUUCAGCUGACCGGUACUAAUUGCCCGAUAGGCUUGAUUUGAUCCAG